UGGAGGAAAGCAGGGGAUCGCAAGACCUUGCGCUUUUGGAGUGGCCGAUGCCUGAUUAGCUAGUUGGUGGGGUAAUGGCCUACCAAGGCGACGAUCAGUGGUUGGUCUGAGAGGACGACCAGCCACACUGGGACUGAGACACGGCCCAGACUCCUACGGGAGGCAGCAGUGGGGAAUUUUGGACAAUGGGCGAAAGCCUGAUCCAGCAAUGCCGCGUGAGUGAAGAAGGCCUUCGGGUUGUAAAGCUCUUUCAGUCGAGAAGAAAAGGUUGUGACUAAUAAUCACAACUCAUGACGGUAUCGACAGAAGAAGCACCGGCUAACUACGUGCCAGCAGCCGCGGUAAUACGUAGGGUGCGAGCGUUAAUCGGAAUUACUGGGCGUAAAGGGUGCGCAGGCGGCUUUGUAAGUCAGAUGUGA
rnacentral:rRNA from 1 species